rfam:Azospirillum brasilense Sp245 plasmid AZOBR_p1 complete genome
GAAUGUUCCCUGGGGGGCCUCGCUAGGAGGCUGAGACUCCGCCGGUCCGGCGCUUUCAUCCGGACAACGCGGUGACCCAUCGAACCUGAUCCGGGUCAUACCGGCGUAGGGACGGGACUGAAGGGCGGCA